rnacentral:rRNA from 1 species
UACAGAGGUCCCAAGCGUUGUUCGGAUUCACUGGGCGUAAAGGGUGCGCAGGUGGGUUGGCAAGUUCGAUGUGAAAGCCCCGGGCUUAACCCGGGAAUGGCAUUGGAAACUGCUGAUCUGGAGGAUCGGAGGGGGGACUGGAAUUCUUGGUGUAGCAGUGAAAUGCGUAGAUAUCAAGAGGAACACCAGUGGCGAAGGCGAGUCCCUGGACGAUACCUGACACUGAGGCACGAAAGUGUGGGGAUCAAAC